AAAGCCCAGAACCAGAACCCUUUCUCCUUCACCGCUCUCUCCCUGCUCACCCUCGUAGUGGCGUGUUGCUUCCUAACCCUCUCCGCCGCGUGCUUCCCUACCACGUGUGGUCGUACCGUCGCUCCAUGCGUCGCGCCGUCGCGCCUUAGCUGCCUUGCCUAACGUCGUAGUGUCAUCGCCUCCCAUCUCGAGUGGUCGUGCCUUCGCCGGACUGCCUUGCACCGUCGUGCCAUUGCUCCCCAUCCUCGCGUUGUCGCGUCCUGUCCACCCUUGAGUAUGGCUGGCUUCUCGCCUCUGCUCCCUUGAAGCUGCCGGAUGCUGCUGCUAUCCCCUGCUCUCUNNNGGUAUGCUCUGCUCUGUUUCUUCUCUCUAACAAUUUCGGUAUGUAUUUAGCAAUUAUUUUUUUAGUUUGAAAGCUUAGAAAUUUUAUCAGCCAGCAGUCAAGCGGUUUUAGAGGUGGGAGCCAAACUAGUUAUGUUGGUAUAUAGCUGUUUUAUUUUUGAGGUUGUUUUGUUUUAUGAUAAACUAGUACUUAGCUCUUGGUUUAGAUGGGGGUACUUACUCAAGACUUUGGUAGUUUGGUUUCUGCUUUCUAGUAUGUCUUUCUUUGUAGACAUAUAUAGAUAGAUCCCUUAGGAUAAGAGUAUAUAACUACAUAUAGAUUGAGGUAUAUAUAUCUUGAUCUGGAGCUUUGAACUUGCCUUGGGUUCUCCUUUUGGUUUUGAGUUCUCAAAUAUUAGUGUAUUACUGA
rnacentral:lncRNA from 1 species